rnacentral:rRNA from 1 species
GACGAACGCUGGCGGCGUGCUUAACACAUGCAAGUCGAACGGAAAGGCCCUGCUUUUGUGGGGUGCUCGAGUGGCGAACGGGUGAGUAACACGUGAGUAACCUGCCCUUGACUUUGGGAUAACUUCAGGAAACUGGGGCUAAUACCGGAUAGGAGCUCCUGCUGCAUGGUGGGGGUUGGAAAGUUUCGGUGGUUGGGGAUGGACUCGCGGGUUAUCAGCUUGUUGGUGGGGUAGUGGCUUACCAAGGCUUUGACGGGUAGCCGGCCUGAGAGGGUGACCGGCCACAUUGGGACUGAGAUACGGCCCAGACUGCGACGGGAGGGAGCAGUGGGGAAUAUUGCACAAGGGGCGGAAGCCUGAUGCAGCAACGCCGCGUGCGGGAUGACGGCCUUCGGGUUGUAAACCGCUUUCGCCUGUGACGAAGCGUGAGUGACGGUAAUGUGUAAAGAAGCACCGGCUAACUACGUG